UGCUCAGGUGAUUUUGAGCAUGUAAAUUCAACUCUUCAAUACUGUUAGUGUAAGUUCUUCAAAUCUGAUUUCUAAUUCA